rnacentral:tRNA from 1 species
AGUAAGGUCAGCUAAAUAAGCUUUUGGGCCCAUACCCCAAAUAUGUUGGUUGAAAUCCUUCCCUUACUA